AGUGAACGCUGGCGGCAUGCCUAACACAUGCAAGUCGAACGGUAACAGGCCCGCAAGGGUGCUGACGAGUGGCGGACGGGUGAGGAAUACAUCGGAAUUUGCCCAGUCGUGGGGGAUAACGUAGGGAAACUUACGCUAAUACCGCAUACGACCUAACGGUGAAAGCGGGGGACCUGCAAGGGCCUCGCGCGGAUGGAUAAGCCGAUGUCGGAUUAGCUAGUUGGCGGGGUAAGAGCCCACCAAGGCGACGAUCCGUAGCUGGUCUGAGAGGAUGAUCAGCCACACUGGGACUGAGACACGGCCCAGACUCCUACGGGAGGCAGCAGUGGGGAAUAUUGGACAAUGGGGGCAACCCUGAUCCAGCAAUGCCGCGUGUGUGAAGAAGGCCUGGUGU
rnacentral:rRNA from 1 species